AAAAAGAAUAUUUUAAUUUAAAAAGAAAUAAUAUCAAUAAAUAUCAAGAAUUGGAAGAACGAUAUAAUAAAUUAGAGAGAGAGGUGUGAAAAACUCGAAGAUGAGUUAAGACGGAAGAAUUAUAUUUUAGAUAAUCGAUCAUAAUCACAGCCAUGAUAUUUUAGAGCAAUUGGGCGGAGGAGAAAGAGAGAGGGAGAUUAAAUUACAAUCAAC